AUGGGCCACAUUCGCACCAAAACCAUGAGAAAGGUGGCCUGGGUCAUUAUAGAAAAGUACUACACGUGCCUGGGCAAUGACUUCCACACCAACAAGCAUGUGUGCGAGGAAAUUGCCAUUAUGCCCUGCAAGAAUCUCUGGAACAAGAUAGCAGCCUGUGUAACCCAUCUGAUGGAGCAGACUCAGAGGGUCCCAGUGUGAGGUACCUCCAUUAAGUUGUAGGAGGAGGAGAGAGAAAGAAGAGACAAUUAUGUUCCUGAGGUCUGAGCCCCCUUGAUCAGGAGAUCAUUGAAGUAGAUCCAGGCAGUACAGAAAUACCGAAACUUUUGGACCUUGGCAGUCUGUCCAACCUGCAGGUACCAGUUAGGAUGAAUUUAAAAACCCCUCGUGGAGCU
rnacentral:lncRNA from 1 species